rnacentral:rRNA from 1 species
AUUGAACGCUGGCGGCAGGCCUAACACAUGCAAGUCGAGCGGGGUUUUCGGACCUAGCGGCGGACGGGUGAGUAAUGCGUAGGAAGCUACCCGAUAGAGGGGGAUACCAGCUGGAAACGACUGUUAAUACCGCAUAAUGUCUACGGACCAAAGUGUGGGACCUUCGGGCCACAUGCUAUCGGAUGCGCCUACGUGGGAUUAGCUAGUUGGUGAGGUAAUGGCUCACCAAGGCGACGAUCCCUAGCUGGUUUGAGAGGAUGAUCAGCCACACUGGAACUGAGACACGGUCCAGACUCCUACGGGAGGCAGCAGUGGGGAAUAUUGGACAAUGGGCGCAAGCCUGAUCCAGCCAUGCCGCGUGUGUGAAGAAGGCCUUCGGGUUGUAAAGCACUUUCAGUAGGGAGGAAGGGUUAAGUGUUAAUAGUACUUAACUUUGACGUUACCUACAGAAGAAGCACCGGCUAACUCUGUGCCAGCAGCAGCCGCGGUAA